rnacentral:lncRNA from 1 species
GCACAUAAAAGACAUUUGAGAUAAACUGAUGCGUACCAUUUUUUAAGCGGAUCAAGAUUUUACCUUUUCGUUUUACUGGGAUCUUGGAUUCAUCUCCAAAGGUAAUGUUACCGCUUACUGAUUCAUCAAGCUCCACAAACAUGUUUUUUCUUCCACACAUAUGGUUGCUUGCUCCUGUAUCCAAAUACCAAGUAUUCUUUUCUCUGCUCUCUUCACCUUUGUAAGCCAAUAGUAGUGCAGGAUCUACU